rnacentral:rRNA from 1 species
GACGUAGGAUGCGAGCGUUGUCCGGAUUUAUUGGGCGUAAAGAGUUCGUAGGUGGUUCGUUAAGUUUGGUGUUAAAGACCAGGGCUCAACCUUGGGACCGCACUGAAUGCUGGCGGACUGGAGUGAAGUAGAGGCAAGCGGAAUUCCCAGUGUAGCGGUGAAAUGCGUAGAUAUUGGGAAGAACGCCGGUGGCGUAAGCGGCUUGCUGGGCUUUAACUGACGAUGAGGAACGAAAGCUAGGGUAGCGAAUGGG